UCCACGGCCCGGAACAAAGCCAGACCUCCUCCCUCCCGGAAUGAAACCAGGCGAGGCGAGGCUUCGACGCGAGACCUGGAGGCGGCGGCGCGCGAGGCGAGGCAGCAGCGAUAGCGCGCGAGGCGCCAAGGCGGCGGCGCGAGGCCACAGCGACGUCGACGGCUACGCUCUCCGCCGCCUUCUCGCCGAUUGUACCAACAGUUCCUAGAAUUGGUGAAGACGAGCCACCUCCAUCCUGGGACCCGAUUUUUGACUCCGAAAGUUUGUUGCAGGAGGCUCCAAGGUCAAUACUCAAGCUGCUAGAAAGGCAUAGGACAAAACCAUGGUCUGAGUAUAAGUGGAUUUAUCAUGCUAUUUUAUCCCGCAUCAUCAUAAGUUACCUACCUAUUGGAUUUUGAGAAUGAGCCUUGUCAGUUUUGUUUAUUGGUUGCUUGGACAAUCUUUUAAAUCUGACUCAAUAGGUCUCUUAUGUAAAGACUCGCACCUGGGUAUUUAUUUUCAGCUUAUUUGAGAGUAUACGGUGAAGAUUCAAAUAUGUUUGCAUGUUUAUGUAAUGAACAAGCAUGUGAAAUUCAGGCUAGUUCAAAAGUCAGCAGCAAUGUGAACA